rnacentral:rRNA from 1 species
AUUGAACGCUGGCGGCAGGCUUAACACAUGCAAGUCGGACGGCAGCACGGGAGCAAUCCUGGUGGCGAGUGGCGAACGGGUGAGUAAUAUAUCGGAACGUGCCCAGUCGUGGGGGAUAACGCAGCGAAAGCUGUGCUAAUACCGCAUACGAUCUAAGGAUGAAAGCGGGGGAUCGCAAGACCUCGCGCGAUUGGAGCGGCCGAUAUCAGAUUAGCUAGUUGGUGGGGUAAAGGCCCACCAAGGCGACGAUCUGUAGCUGGUCUGAGAGGACGACCAGCCACACUGGAACUGAGACACGGUCCAGACUCCUACGGGAGGCAGCAGUGGGGAAUUUUGGACAAUGGGCGCAAGCCUGAUCCAGCAAUGCCGCGUGCAGGAUGAAGGCCUUCGGGUUGUAAACUGCUUUUGUACGGAACGAAACGGCCCUUUCUAAUACAGGGGGCUAAUGACGGUACCGUAAGAAUAAGCACCGGCUAACUACGUGCCAGCCGCCGCCGUAAAAC